rnacentral:rRNA from 1 species
GAUGAACGCUGGCGGCGUGCCUAAUACAUGCAAGUCGAGCGAACAGAUAAGGAGCUUGCUCCUUUGACGUUAGCGGCGGACGGGUGAGUAACACGUGGGUAACCUACCUAUAAGACUGGAAUAACUCCGGGAAACCGGGGCUAAUGCCGGAUAACAUUUAGAACCGCAUGGUUCUAAAGUGAAAGAUGGUUUUACUAUCACUUAUAGAUGGACCCGCGCCGUAUUAGCUAGUUGGUAAGGUAACGGCUUACCAAGGCAACGAUACGUAGCCGACCUGAGAGGGUGCUCGGCCACACUGGAACUGAGACACGGUACAGACUCCGACGGGAGGCAGCAGUAGGUAAUCGUCCGCAAUGGGCGAAAGACUGACGGAGGGACGCAGCGUGGGUGAUGCAGGUCUUCGGAUCGUAAAACUCUGUUAUUAGGGAAGAACAAAUGUGUAAGUAACUGUGCACGUCUUGACGGUACCUAAACAGAAAGCCACGGCUAACUACGU